UUUCCCUUCGUGGGUAAAUUCCCUAAGCAUUCAUUGAAAUUUAUUUGUAUACAUACACUUUGAGCUAUAAUUCCCCUUUUUUUAUUAAUGGUCUUUCAAUCGAUGUACAUAAGGUUCAAAAGUCACUAAAUAUUAUCUUCACAUGCACAUGACUUCACUGUACAUAACUUUAUGUUAUUAUCAGCAUAUUACAUAGUUUCCAUACACAAAAGAAUAAAAAUAAUUCCAAACUCUUCAAUAGUCUUCAUUCAUACUCCAUUCUUGACCAUGUUUGUUCAUGCUCCAUUAUCAUGUACCAUGUUGCAAAGAAAACAAUGGAAACAAGUUAGAACUUAUAUUCACUUCUAAAAAUUCAGCACUUACAUAACAAAAUUCAGCAUCAUGAGCAUUUACAAAAUACACAUGAAAAGUCAUUUUAAAUUCAUGUCAUUCAUCUCUAAAAUUCAACACAUGCACAUACAUUCACAUCAUAUGCAAAACCAUUAAAACAAGUCAAAUUCAAUAAAAAUUAUGCAUGUUAUGCAUAUACCAUGAAUAAAUUCUAUACUAUGUAUCACUUUCAUUCCACUUCUAUACAACAAGUGAAACCUCAUAAAUCAUGCACAUUGAAAGAAAAAUUCAGCAUGCAUGUGAUAGAUCAUUUCAUCCAUGAACAUCAAUUCAAUUACAUCUAUAAUUCGUUCAUUCAUAACAUGUAAAUGGCCAAGUAUGGGUUCAAGUGGUGCCAUGUAAAUUCAUCCAAUUUUCUUCAUAUUCACUAAAAAUUCAGCAUAUGCACAUGCAUGUAAAUUCACAGACAUACAUGCUUUAACCGUCCUAACUAUCUUAAAUUUACACUAACUAACUUCUAACCACUUUGGGCAAUUGCCCAAAGUGCCUAAAACAGACCCAACUAAUUUUUAACCAAUUUAAUCAUCACUCACCUAGUUCCAUAUAAGCAUUCAUCAUUCACUCACUAAAGAUCUUCUUCUUCUUCACUUUUUUUGAUUCCACCUACUCUUCCCUUUCUCUCAAGUUUUUCACUCUCCAUUCUCCAUUCUUCAACCUUCCCUCACUAGAGCUCAAAUUCAUGGUUGUUGAAGCUUCACAUUGAAGUUUCAAUAAACUUGAGCAUAACCUUCACUACACUUGACUCCAUAUUUUUCAUGUUUCAAGCAUUGAAAAGUGGAAAAAGAAUCAACAACAAGAAGAAAACAAAUGGAAGAAAAGAAAGGGGAUGAAGAAGAAAUGAAGAGGAAUUAAAGAGUUACUUACCGUAUUGAAUUUGCAUUGCCGUUGAAGAACCAUCGGAGGGUCUCCGAUCGGAGGGUCUCAAACUUUAUUUAUGACUCCAUGCAUGGUUGCUUGCUUGUCCUUCUAUGUUUGUUUACUUGUUUGAGUUAUCUUUGCAUGUUUGUUUAUGUAUUUACCUUGCUAUUCAUCUAGAGUGAACGGUUACCAUGAGAAUCCAAACCUUGCCAUGAACAAAAACCAUAUAAAAUUUCAGCAUCUUGUCAAUAUCAUACCUUGACCUCUUUCAUCACCAAUUUCAACCUUCAUCAUCGAUUCACCAUAAACUGCAAGAAACCACGAAAAAUUCAUUACCAAACCAAGGCUCGGUUGGAAAAUCCAAAAAUAGAACCGAAACAAAUCGAAAAGCAAGAAGUUUCAGUUCAAGCAUUUCACCGAACACUUGGUGUGCAAGUUUCAGAACGGCAUACAUGUUAUCAAAUUCAAAACAGAACCGCAAUUAACAUCAGCUAUAACACAGCGAUAACAACAACACACUCAUGUAAAACAAACUAAACACGAUUCUGAACCUAAAUCGCGUAAGCUAAACCGAGUCAAACUCAGUUUCCAAACCCAUCCUAAACCAGAACCAAAACUGAAUUCUAAAUCAAAUUGGAAUUUGAACCGAUUGAGAGAUGAGCAGAUAAAUGUUGUUAUUGUGUGAGCUUCACUCGAGCGACUCGGUUGGUUUUGCAUCAACGGGGAGCGCUUAUGGCGGAAAAAGGUAAAAAUCAUGUUUUGCAGAAAUCACUUCUGGAAAUGCAAUUAUGAGUUGCGCGUUUUCUUGUUCCUGGAUUUUCAUGUUGUGUUUCUAGCCACGAG
rnacentral:lncRNA from 1 species